GAUGAACGCUGGCGGCGUGCCUAAUACAUGCAAGUCGAGCGGCAGCACGGUCUUCGGACUGGUGGCGAGCGGCGGACGGCAGAGUAACGCGUAGGAAUAUACCCCAAAGUGAGGAAUAACUGCCCGAAAGGGUGGCUAAUGCCGCAUGUGGUCUUCGGAUUAAAGCUUUAUGCGCUUUGGGAAUAGCCUGCGUUCGAUUAGCUAGUUGGUGAGGUAAUGGCUCACCAAGGCUACGAUCGAUAACUGGUCUGAGAGGAUGAUCAGUCUGACUGGAACUGAGACACGGUCCAGACUCCUACGGGAGGCAGCAGUAGGGAAUUUUCCACAAUGGACGAAAGUCUGAUGGAGCAACGCCGCGUGCAGGAUGAAGGCUUUCGGGUCGUAAACUGCUUUAUGUGAGAAGAAUAUGACGGUAACACAUGAAUAAGGGUCGGCUAACUACGUG
rnacentral:rRNA from 1 species